AGCUCCAAUAGCGUAUAUUAAAGUUGUUGCAGUUAAAAAGCUCGUAGUUGAAUUUCUGAUCAAUUCUAGUUUCGGAUUCGUUUGGGCUAGGGUUGGUCAUCCGUCUGCAAGCUAUGCUCGGCCUUCAUUGGUUCGGCAUAGCGAGCUGACAUUUUACUUUGAAAAAAUUAGAGUGUUUCAGGCAGGCUUUUGCCCGAAUACAUUAGCAUGGAAUAAUGGAAUUGGACUCUGGUCCAUUUGGUUGGUUAUUGGAUCUGAGUAAUGGUUAAUAGGGACAGUUGGGGGCAUUAGUAUUUAAUUGUCAGAGGUGAAAUUCUUGGAUUUAUUAAAGACUAACUUAUGCGAAAGCAUUUGCCAAGGAUGUUUUCA
rnacentral:rRNA from 1 species